UACAGAGGUCUCAAGCGUUGUUCGGAUUCAUUGGGCGUAAAGGGCGCGUAGCGGCGGGGUCAGUCGGGUGUGAAAUCUUGGGGCUUAACCCCGAAACGGCACUCGAAACUGCCCGGCUGGAGGGCCGGAGAGGAGAUCGGAAUUCACGGUGUAGCAGUGAAAUGCGUAGAGAUCGUGAGGAAGACCCGUGGCGAAGGCGGAUCUCUGGACGGCUAACUGACGCGUGAGGCGCGAAGCCAGGGAGCAAACGGG
rnacentral:rRNA from 1 species